CCAAAUCAGAAUAGACUCUGUACACGACUAGUCUAGGCCUUCUUCACACCAGGGCCCGACGUCGCCGCCACCGCCGCCGCCGCCCCUCCCCACGUCGCGAGGAUCGCUGGAUGUCACGGUCCCAUCCUUUCCAUCGCAGCCGCCGCCCCCUCCCUCCGUCUCGGGGAUCGCGUGGAGAGUCACGGCCCCGUCCUCUCUGUCGCAGCCCCCUCCCCUCCGUCACGGGGAUCGCCGGCAGAGUCACGGACCCGUUCCCUCCGUCGCUGGGAUCGUCGGGAGCAUCUAGCUCCUACCCCAUACCCCCAGCUGACGAGCGCCGCCCGAGAUCACGCCAUCAUGGCGGACGCGUCUCUUCCUCCUCGUCGACGUCGCCUCCUUCGAUCGCCUCUGUUGUCGUCGGUAAACUCCGAGUUGGUUCUUCAUCUGCAAGAUCCCAAUCCGAUUUUUUCUCCUCCAUGGCCCAGUCUGGUGUAACACCCCCGCUCUCCUCGACGGCGGGAUCGGACCUCCAGGCUCUACAGUGGCAUCGGAGUGGGCGGCCAAGCCAUCCUUGCCUGUGGGAUUGGACACCGUCGCCUCAAUACUGCCAGCGAUGGAUGGCCCCAGGGACUCGUUUUCCAGAUUCCAGCAGCAGCCGGCGGUCGUGACGGCCGGUGCCCGGAUGCUGCGUGAGCUCCGCACCUGAAACCGUACUGUUCAUGCUAGUAGUCUGACCUGUUUGUUGCUGUUUUCGCAGAGCCGGUUUGCUGCUAGAUGUUAUUUCAUUAAGCAAGAUGACACAGGAUCUCAACUCAAGUAGCUGUGGAUAGUGAUGCUUUCCCUAUUUAAGGUUGUUCUUGAUAUUGUACAAAUGAAAUUUAUGUACAGCGUCUGAAUAUAACUUUGGUAUUUGCAGUGUUGUUCUCCUACUUGUGACAUUUGGUUUCAGCAAUUAAAACACGAACAGAUCAUCCAGGUUUGAGAACAAGCCAAAUGAACAGGGCUUGUAAUACUAUGUGAUAACAUAGUUUUUGUCAUGCAAGAAA